CCUAGCAGCUGCACCUGAGUGCGAGUGCACAUUAGCCUCUGAUCUCAGAAGCUAAGCAGAGCAAUGCCUGGUUAGUACUUGGAUGGGAGAUCAACUUGGAAGACCAGGGGCUGCUAUCC
rnacentral:rRNA from 12 species